UGCAACGGCUACUACGCACCGACCUCCGCGCGCGUCUGCCGCCGCGACUGCUUCGGCUUUUUGUUCCUCACUACCGCCGCCGCCGAGGCAAGCGCCACCGACGAUAUCGCUUUCCACUUUCCAACCCUAUCGGAGAUUCUAGAGAUCCAUGCGCCUACUUGCGCAGGAAGUCACUACAACAAUAUUGAGUUCUGCAGAAAGCGCAAGGCUUCUUGCUUGGAAGCACGGCAAAGAGAAAAGGACACCCCUUGCCUUCUUGAUCCUCUCUGCCCUGUGAUUCCGAUGUCAGUGACUUUGGAGGUUGGAGCACCAAUGGAAGGAAUGCAAAUUACUCCCAGAACUGAAUUAAUGCGUGGAAUUUGUACUUCAUCAACCCAACCGUCCUUGUACUCGACGAUGUACGGGUUGCUGAGGCUCGCCAUCAGGGACAUCUGUGCAGCAAACAGCAAGCAAAGCAUCAAAAUCAAAUCAUCAAACCAAACCAUCUGUCCCGUCCUCCCAAACAUUCAAUCAGGAGAUGGGCCCUGCAAGAGGUGGGGUGUGAGGUAGCGCUCUGCGAAAGAGGAGAAAAUAAAAAAAAACGAUAUGGUUUUGGUUUGGCCAUUGCUUUCGCCAAUGUAGAAAGAGACCAGCGAACUGCCUGUAGACUUCGCAGUAGAGUAGCCGUGUAGGAAAGAUAUGUGUAUUUGGGGGGCGUUCCGUAUAUAUCAUCAAGACCGUGCUUAGGCUGUACUAGCACAUUUAAUUCAUGCACGUAUCAAUCCAGGAAAAUAAAUUGUUGCAAGUAUGCGUAGCUAUUGCCUUCAUGGCUUUCAUGCAUGUUUGUUGCAGUCUACUAGACAGGGGCCUUUCCUCUGCCAGUGUGUUAAUAUGUCUGGUUCUGAAUGAUGGUGAUAUGCAAUUUUGCUGUGUUGGGCUCGAGCUAUAGCCAAUGCAAUGAAAAGGCCUAGUUACCAGUUACCACACCUGAUUGGAUCAGAUCAGAUCAGCCAAAAUCUCGUUUCA
rnacentral:lncRNA from 1 species